CCUCUCUGGUUGAAGGUCGCUACGGUGCCACCGACAUGCGGUGAGUGAGCCCUGGGCUCCUGGAGAGGCUUCCGUACCCCAAGCUGGGACUCGGGCAUAAGGACAGAGAAAGUGGGCAGGGAUGACGGAGGGCCUGGGGUGUCACAGGUGGGGGCAGGGCCUGCUGGAGAGGGCGUGGUGGCCUCUCCAGGGGUGCAUGGUGCCCCCUGUGUGGCUUGGCUCCACAUGGCCUCCAAGCGCACGUACCAAAGCACAUCCACAAGGGAGUCAGAACAGAGCUCCGCAAGUGCUCGUGGGGAGAGCCGUGUGCCCAGCACCCUGAGCACUGCCAGGCAGCCUGCGGCACAGCGUCCAGGAGGAGCCCCUGCCCGGCUCACUCCACUGAUGGCGGAUUCAAGGGAGUUUGACUCCUGUUUGAAACGCCUCUGGGUUCCCAGAUUUUCUUUACCAAAAAAAAAGGGAGGGGAGAGGGUCUCGACCCCACACCUCUGAGACAGGCUUCACACAGCCUGCUGGGCUCCUGGCUCCCGUUGUCACCUUGGUCCCUCUGAGGGGAUGGGCCCAGGAGACAGGCGUGGGCCUGGCGAGGAGCCCUGGCAGCACACAGUGUGUCUCCCUGCUUUCCAGGACCCCGCAGCCCUGUUCCCGGCCAGCCAGCCCAGAGCCAGAGCCAGUGCCAGAGGCAGACUCCAAGAAGCCCCUGUCCCCUGCGCGGGCCACAGAGGCCGAUAAGGAGCCCCAGCGCCUCCUGGUCCCCGACAUCCAGGAAAUCCGAGUCAGGUAUGUAGGGCCCCACAUGAAGCUGCCCACCACAGGCAGUGCCCCUUACCCGAGCACAGGGCAGAGCCAGGGGCCAGGCCUCAGGCACACACCCUCCCCCACGUGCAGGACAGUUCUGAACCAGGUCAGGCAGACCCCUUGACCCAGACUGGGGACCACUUUGUUCUAGAGGGGUCACCCCACCCCCGAUGGUCCUGGUGCUGCUGUGGCAACAUGCAGACGGGGGGCGGGGGUCCGAGCCAGAGCGGGGCCUAGUGUCACCGGGCCGUGAUUGGCAGCUCCAGGGCUGUGUCUGCUCUUCAAGUCUCUCCAUCCCCAGCUGGGAUGUCCUCUGAGCCCCCAGAAAUGGGCCAGAGGUGGGCUAGUGGGUCUGGACUCCGGCCUCUGGCCCGCUUUCUCCUGGGCAAUGACCAGUACUGUGGGCCUGGCUCUGGGUGGGGGGCCGUGACUUCUGCCUUUGCCCGCACCACACCUGGCUGCCGGGACGUGAGCCAGCAGAUGCCCUGCCCCACAGCCCGAUCGUGUCCAAGAAGGGGUACCUGCACUUCCUGGAGCCGCACACAGCCGGCUGGGCCAAGCGCUUCGUGGUGGUACGACGCCCCUACGCCUACAUGUACAACAGUGACAAGGACACGGUGGAGAGAUUUGUGCUCAACCUCUCCACGGCCCAGGUGGAGUACAG
rnacentral:lncRNA from 1 species